rnacentral:rRNA from 1 species
GUUAUUGGCAACGGCGCUAGUACACGCUUCUGGGAGGAUACUUGGCUCGGCGAGACACCCUUGGCCAUUCAAUAUCCGUCUUUAUAUCGCAUUGUUCAACGACGUGAGGUGUUUGUUGCUACGGUGUUUCAAUCCAUCCCCCUUAAUAUUCAGUUCAGACGGUCGUUAGUGGGCAAUCGUUGGGAAGAUUGGCUCCGUCUAGUUCGGAGACUAAUGGAUGUCCAUCUUUCUCAACAACCCGAUGAAUUACGCUGGAAACUGACUAGGUCUGGAGUAUUCACGGUUAAAUCAAUGUAUAUUGAUGUAAUUAAUUCGAGCCCCAUUCCUACCUCCAAGCAUGUUUGGGCUGUCAAAGUUCCCUUGAAAAUAAAAGUGUUUAUGUGGUUUGUCCAUAAACAGGUUAUUUUAACCAAGGAUAACUUGAUUAAGCGUAAUUGGACAGGACCUACGAGGUGUAGCUUCUGUGAUCGGGACGAGACGAUCAAACAUCUCUUUUUUGAUUGCCCGUUUGCCAGAGUACUUUCGAGGACGGUUCACAUUGCUUUUAAUAUUACUUCACCGAAUUCUGUCAAUACGUUAUUUGGG